rnacentral:tRNA from 1 species
GCCGAUUAGCUCAGUCGGUUAGAGCGUGGUGCUGAUAACACCAAGGUCGCGGGUUCGAUCCCCGGUUGGUG